AACGAACGCUGGCGGCAUGCCUAACACAUGCAAGUCGAACGAUACCUUCCGGUCUAGUGGCGCACGGGUGCGUAACGCGUGGGAACCUGCCCUUAGGUUCGGAAUAACUCCCCGAAAGGGGUGCUAAUACCGGAUAAUGUCUUCGGACCAAAGAUUUAUCGCCUUUGGAUGGGCCCGCGUUGGAUUAGCUAGUUGGUAGGGUAAAAGCCUACCAAGGCGACGAUCCAUAGCUGGUCUGAGAGGAUGAUCAGCCACACUGGGACUGAGACACGGCCCAGACUCCUACGGGAGGCAGCAGUGGGGAAUAUUGGACAAGGGGCGAAAGCCUGAUCCAGCAAUGCCGCGUGAGUGAUGAAGGCCUUAGGGUUGUAAAGCUCUUUUACCCGGGAUGAUAAUGACAGUACCGGGAGAAUAAGCUCCGGCUAACUCCGUG
rnacentral:rRNA from 1 species